CUUGGCUGGCCCCCAUCUUACUGCUUUUGUAUGUCAGCUUUACCGCUCAGAGUUUCCUUGUCACGAGGGUUCUGCGAGAAACAGAACUAAUGUUUUAAAAAUAUGAGGUGUCUGACUGAGGUCCCAGAGGAGUCCGUCCAGAAGGCUGUACUCCACUCAGGAGUGGCGCAUCAGGGAGAACAAGGCAAAGACCCUUCACAAAGACCAUUUCAAAGAAUGACACCAAAAUAUUUCGUUUUAUAAUAUAAGUAUAUUUUGAAAAUGAAUCCUCCUGUGCUCUCAAUCCAAGCCCUUCUGGUGGUGGAACUCCAGCUCCUGGGGUGGGCAAGUGAUUCGUGCCUAGCCAUUCAUAGCUCCAGUCUUGUGAUUGACUCAGGAAUGGACAUGCACACAAGGUCAGAGAUGCAGAGACUCUUGCUGGGACUUUUGGGGGAAAGGCUCACUCUCAACUCUUUGAAGGUGUGUGGCUGUGAGGCCAGAACUGCUGUUGCUAUCUUACUACCAUCAGAUGAGAACCUAAGUGAGAAUGAAGUUAACCUACAAAGAAAUGGAGCCAAGAGAUGAAGUGCAAGAGGCCGGGACCAGGGUACAUUUUGUGACUAAGCCAAGGGGGCAGCAGGAUGCUGCCUUCUCUACCUAAAGAUGAUACCAUGGACCCAGCAUCAAUGGGGUAUGCCUUUUGGUUUGUUUUCUAUGAUGUGGUGCUGGAUUGUGCUAACUCAUCCAAACUCCUUAGCAAGGCAUAUGAAGAUUUUCAGUUUACACAGUCUUGCCCCAAUAUUCCUUCCCACUGUUAUGUCUUACUAAUUUAGCCAAAAUGAGUUACUCAUUGCUCUUUCAACAGGUUUGUCAUAAUCCUGUGCCUUUACACAUACGUCUUGGGCCUACUUCAAAUGUCAGUUCCUCAGUGAAGGUUUUUUCAACGUAACCAAGAGUUAGUCACACACAAGUGGGAAGAAACAGAAUGAACUGGGUACCCAAA